CACUUCUAUGGAAGGCAGCAGGCGCGCAAAUUACCCAAUCCUGACUCAGGGAGGUAGUGACAAGAAAUAACAAUAAACCGGCUUAUGCCGGUUUAAUUGGAAUGAGUACAAUUUAAACAUCUUAACGAGGAACAAUUGGAGGGCAAGUCUGGUGCCAGCAGCCGCGGUAAUUCCAGCUCCAAUAGCGUAUACUAAAGUUGUUGCAGUUAAAAAGCUCGUAGUUGGAUUUCUGUGGGGACGGAGCGGCCGGCCGCACAUCGCGGUUCGAGCUAGCGCUUUCCCUACAUCCUGCCGCGAACCGUGCUACCAUUAAUUUGGUGGCGCCGGGGAUCGGCUCGAUUACUUUGAGAAAAAUAGAGUGUUCAAAGCAGGCCACAUGCCUUGAAUAAGUUAGCAUGGAAUAAUAACUAAGGACUUCGGUUCUAUUUUGUUGGUGUUCGGGACUGAAGUAAUGAUUGAUAGGGACAGUUGGGGCGGUCUGUAUUCCAAAGCGAGAGGUGAAAUUCUUAGACCUUCGGAAGACAAACAGCUGCGAAAGCGUUCCGCAAGGAUGUUCCCUUUGAUCAAGAACGAAAGUUGGGGGAUCGAAGACGAUCAGAUACCGUCGUAGUCUCAACUAUAAACUAUACCAGCUAGGGAUCGGCCAACGUUAUUUAAACCGACUUGGUCGGCACCUUAUGAGAAAUCAAAGUCUUUGGGUUCCGGGGGGAGUAUGGUCGCAAGGCUGAAACUUAAAGGAAUUGACGGAAGGGCACCACCAGGAGUGGAGCCUGCGGCUUAAUUUGACUCAACACGGGAAAACUUACCAGGUCCAGACAUAGUAAGGAUUGACAGAUUGAUAGCUCUUUCUUGAUUCUGUGGGUGGUGGUGCAUGGCCGUUCUUAGUUGGUGGAGUGAUUUGUCUGGUUAAUUCCGUUAACGAACGAGACCCCAGCCUGCUAAAUAGCGCGCGUGAGCUUUGCUCGCGGCGAGCUUCUUAGAGGGACUAUGAUGCGCGAUAGCACAUGGAAGUUUGGGGCAAUAACAGGUCUGUGAUGCCCUUAGAUGUUCUGGGCCGCACACGGGCUACACUGGCGCCUGCAACGAGCAUAUCAGCUGGCCCGAGAGGGUCUUGGCUAAUCUUUUGAACCGGCGCCGUGCUUGGGAUUGACCUUUGCAAUUGUUGGUCAUGCAACGAGGAAUGCCUUGUAAACGCGAGUCAUCAGCUCGCAUUGAAUACGUCCCUGCCCUUUGUACACACCGCCCGUCGCUCCUACCGAUGAAUGUUCCGAUGAAAUUUUCGGAGAGCACCUGUGAACUUGGCUCUGCCUUGCGAACGGGAGGCUCAAAGUCACUUAAAUCUGAACAUUUCGA
rnacentral:rRNA from 1 species